rnacentral:lncRNA from 1 species
CCUAAAGUGUUGGGAUUACAGAUGUGAGCCACUGCACCCAGGGCCACAAAGGUGUGGACACCUAGGAGCCAGGGUCAUUUUCUGAGGACAAUGAGUCAUUGAAAGGCACAAGUAGGUGAGGGAUGGAUUGGGCUGCUGGUUUGAAAGCGCAACAUGGAGCUUCCUAUGGCACAGGCAGCUUGGGGGCAGAGAGGCCAGUGAGAGGCAGGAGCAGCAGCCCAGGCUGUCACCAAGGAGGGGACAAUGUGGUAAAAAUGGAGAAAUGCACAUGGGUCUGAAAGGUUUAGAUAAAUGUGGAUUUCAGCACCUCCUCUCCCACACCCCACUUAUCAGCUGUGAACAUGGGGCAAGGCACUCCUUUCUGUGUCUUUAUGACUUAGCUGAGGUGACCACUAAGUAGGAAAAGUGCCUGGCUGGUGACACAUAAUAAGUAGCUGCAAGUGGUAGCUUUCUUCCCUACCCACUUGAAGCAGAAAUUGGUGACCAGUUUUUCUCUCUGAGUCGUCCAGCUGGCACCAGAGAAAUUCUGAGGCUGCUUCUUCAGACAGGGCCACCAGGAUGUCUGGGCAGCAUGGCAAAUCUGAUCCUUAGAUCAGUUUGGAAAAGGUGGGGAAGACAGAGCCAGAAAAACUGGGCCAGAUGCCUGGAUUCCAAUCAUACCCAGGCCCUGCCCCCUCUGGUUCUGGCUGUGCUGUGCCUGUCUGGGUCCUGAGUCAAGUGACACCUGGUCCCUGCCCUCUGCCCUCAGGAAGGUCCCCAUAGACCAGGGAAAACUCACAAAUACAGCCAUUGGGUAAUGCCAGAGAAUAUGCAUGCCAACUCCUAAGGCUGAUGAGUUACUAAACACCAAUAGCUACGGUGGGAAAGAGAUGUCAUUGUCACCAUCUUAAAGAUAAGGAAACAGAAGCUUAGAGAGCAAUGUGCCCAGAGUCGUUCAGCCUAGGAGUGACUGAGGCAGGACAGAAGUCAUAACUUGUCCAGCUGCAAGGCUUGAGUUUCCAGUCUAGCCCAGAAGAUAUCACCCUGCCCAGGUUGGGCUGCAACCUCACUCACCUUUGGGACAAUAGGCUCUAUCUGGAAGAGAAGGCUCUAUUUUGAGCAAUGAGGAGCCCAUGCCAAGCACAGCCACCUGCCCCUGCAGAAAUGAGUGGGGCUGGAAGCUUCAUGGAUUCUAGUUUUUAAUGAAUAUCUCCCCUGAGCCCACACAAGCUUGUGACUGUUGGUCCCAAGGCAUAUUGUCCAACCUCCAAAUGGAGCAGAGCAAUGGUGAAGGAAGCCUGUCUGGUCAGCUCAGCCACUUCUGAGCUCUAUAGCUUUGCACAGGCCUUUGCUCCUCACUGUGCCUAAGUUUCCUGCCAUAAAACGGGGACAUUGAUACAAACCACACACACAAUGAGGAUGAAAAGAGAUAAUGGGUAAAAUGACCUCACCUGCCAGGGAGUCCAUGCUCAGAGAACUCUCAUGCUCUUGGGUGGAAUAUUUCCUCAGAGACAUAGAGCUUGGAGGUCAGGGACACGGGCCCUGCCACUGACCUGCUCUGUGACUCUGAGACAGUGGCUUCCACUCUCUGAGUUCAGAUCCACACUGAACAGGCUGCUCUGACCUGUGCCCCUGGGCUGGGAAGGGAAUUCUUCCUCCCCAGCUUGUCAGGGAACCCUUGGCCAUGGCUGAGGGCAAUCUGGCCCCAGUGCCCUGGCUUAAUGGAACAGCAGGAAAAGGCAAACACAAAACCCAGACAGCAGCUGAUCACGGAAUCUGCUCUCCUUGACCCACAAGGAUUUGUUGUGAUCCAGCCAGCCUGUGACUCUGUCCACAUGCUGCUCCUCUGCAGGGAUGCUGCUGUUCACUCUUACUCUACUGAGACACACAGAUGUCCUUGAAUGAAAUAAUUCUCUCUCUCUGUCUCUCACACACACACAAACACACACACACACACACACACCCUAACUCUUCCUCCAGGCUCGCAAGUCAGCUGUCCAGAAAAACUGCCUUCAGCGGCCCCUUAGCCUGUGAGCUGCCCUCAUUCCCCUUCACAGCCCUGAGUGAGGAUGCGCAGCCUCCUUGGGCAGGAGGAGGCAGCUUCUGGGAGGUUGGGUCUCACAGCUCCAGUGCCCCCUGCUGGGCCUCUAGCCGGCUCAGGCAGUGACCCUGGGUAGGGAGCACCUCAGUGCUGCUCAUAAUUGCAGAGGAUGGCCUCACCAGUCAGGGGGUCCUGGAGGGCCUGGGGGGGCUUGGUCUCUGACUGCCAGCAAAAGACGCUGGUCACAUCUAGGCAGCAGGAGGCAAACACUGAGUCAGCUGACUUGCCUGACUUUAACCCUCAGGUUUUUUAAAAAAAUUAAAAUACAGGUGCAGGGGCUUGGGCUCGGGACUCCUGGACCCACGUGGGGCUGAGCGUGGAUGGUGUUUGGUGUCCGGCUUCACUCCCAAACCGCACCCGGAGGGUUUGCGGGGCGGAGGGGCCUCAGGGCGACGGUUCCAGAACAGACCCAGGCUGCUCCGGUCAGCAGCAGCCCCGCCGCUCUCCCACCUAGCGGGGACCCCCAGCCCCGCCAGCCGCAUCGCUCUGUCCCUCUCAUGUCAGGCAAGCCAGUUCCGGACCGCGUGGCACCAGGAGCCGCCAGGAGCCGGGGCGACCCAGAGGUCUCCAGCGACCUGGCGUCCGGCGAGGACACAGCCCCCAGGAGGGGUUAGACCACGGGAGCCGGAGCCCGAGUCCCAGGGCCGCCGAGCCAGUUUAGAGUGGUCUCCAGGCCCUAGUGGGAAGGGGCUCCGCGCUUCUGGGCGUCCACAGGAGCUGCAUGGCCCUGCCCGCUGACGCCCGGUCGGGACGCUCCACACCCUGUGUGGGGGCGGAGGGGACGCGGUGGGUGCGGCCUGGGCGCGGGUGGGCUAGAGCCUGGAGACCGCCGGGAGCCCGACUUCCUGGCGCUUUGCCCUUUGGGGAGCGGAGCCAAGGAACAGCGCCAACCUCUCUCCACAAGCCAGGGACCCUACGACCCACCGCCGCAGGCCAGAACCAGCAGCUGAUUUAGAUACCAUCAAGACACCUAAAACCUUAUCAUGAGCCAGAUGCUGUGGAAGAGAUUCUGGGAGAAUCCUGAGGACCCCCCAGUUGCAGCCAUGUCAAGACUGAUGCUGAGGAGGACCCCAACUGUCACGAGCAACACCCGUCGAACACAGCCACCUACUUGGGGAAAGAUCAAGAAGCUGUCACAGAUGGUGGAAGAAAACCUGAGGAAAGCGGGACAACCAGUCACAAUGAGUAAUUUAAUGAUAGCUAUGAGAGCGGUGAUCACCAUUGCUUCUGCAGAUGCAGAUCCUGACUCCUGCGAGAAGUAGCUCACCGUGAUAAAGCUGCCUUUGCUUUUAUUGCCCUGCAAAAACAAGAAGGGGGAUAUGCUGGGGAAUAGGCCCCCAAAUCUGGACAUAAACUGGCCCCAAAACUGGCCAUAAACAAAAUCUCUGCAGCGCUGUGACAUGUUCAUGGUGGCCAUAACGCCCAUGCUGGAAGGCUGUGGUUUACCGGAAUGAGAGCGAGGAACACCUGGCCUAUCCAGGGCGGAAAACCACUUAUAGGUAUUCCUAAACCACAAACAACCUAUGCCUUAAGGACAUGUUCCUGCUGCAGAUAACUAGCCAGAGCCCAUCCCUUUGUUUCGGCCCAUCCUUUUGUUUCCUGUAAGGAGUGCUUUUAGUUAAUCUAUAAUCUAUAGAAACAAUACUUAUCACUGGCUUGCUGUCAAUAAAUAUGUGGGUAAAUCUCUG